rnacentral:rRNA from 1 species
CCUACGGGAGGCAGCAGUGGGGAAUAUUGCACAAUGGGGGAAACCCUGAUGCAGCGACGCCGCGUGAGUGAAGAAGUAUUUAGGUAUGUAAAGCUCUAUCAGCAGGGGAGAAGAAAUGACGGUACCUGAGUAAGAAGCCCCGGCUAACUACGUGCCAGCAGCCGAGGUAAUACGUAGGGGGCAAGCGUUAUCCGGAAUUACUGGGUGUAAAGGGAGCGUAGACGGUGAGGUAAGUCUGGGGUGAAAGGCGGGGGCCCAACCCUCUGACUGCGUUGGAAACUAUGUGACUGGAGUGCAGGAGAGGUGAGCGGAAUUCGUGGUGUAGCGGUGAAAUGCGUAGAUAGUAGGAAGAACACCAAUUGCGAAGGCAGCUCACUGGACUGUAACUGACGUUGAGGCUCGAAAGCGUGGGGAUCAAACAGGAUUAGAUACCCCAGUAGUC